AUCCAAUCAGCUGUGAGGAUUGAUCAGCUGAUCAGAUGGACUUCAGGAAAGAGCCUGUCAGACUGAACAUGGGACACUUGAGGACAUGAAGGAAAGACCCUCCUCUGUCAGACUGAACAUGGGACGUUAGAGGACUUGAAGCUAAGAAGCCCCUUCAGGAUCUGCUCUGGGAUCAGCCUCAUCAGGUGAAGCCCCGCCCCUUCAGGACCAGGAUCUGCUCUGGGAUCAGCCUCAUCAGGUGAAGCCCCGCCCCUUCAGGACCAGGAUCUGCUCUGGAUCAGCCUCAUCAGGUGAAGCCCCUCCCCUUCAGGACCAGGAUCUGCUCUGGGAUCAGCCUCACAUCAGGUGAAGCCCCUCCCCUUCAGGACCAGGAUCUGCUCUGGGAUCAGCCUCACAUCAGGUGAAGCCCCUCCCCUUCAGGACCAGGAUCUGCUCUGGGGUCACCUCACAUCAGGUGAAGCC